AUCCUUUUGAGCAGGGGUCCCCCCAACCCCUGGGCAGAGGACCAGUACUGUUCAGCGGCCUGUUAGGAACCAGGCCGCACAGCAGGUGAGCAGGGAGCAAGCAAGCAAAGCUUCAUUUGCUGCUCCCCAUCGCUUGCAUGACUUUCUGAACCAUCCCCGCCCCCCUCGAAAAACUGUCUUCUGCAAAACCAGUCCUGGUGCCAAAAAGGUUGGGGACAGCUGCUUUUGAGUAAAAAACACUAUUGGAUAAAUUGGACUUUUCAUGCUUUUGAAGUAGCUUUGCUAAACUGCUUCCCAGAAAUGUUACGUUGUAGUGAGUAGAAUGAUGGAAAUAGAGUCAAGGGAGUUGAAAGAGCUGCAAGUCUAAAGUGGCAAAAUAGGAAAGGCAGAGGUUAAAUACAUGGCUGAAGGCGUAGUGACUGAGGACCAGGUGAGGUAAGAGAUUUUCAGGCAAGACGGUAUUUUUGCACAUCGGAACCUUGCUUAGGCUGAUAUCCCUCCCAAACCCUCUAGUGUCCUAUUUUUCUCACCCAAAUUACUGUUCUACAUGUUGCUACAAAAUACAGUAGGUAUAUUUGAAGACCUUGGAAGGGAUGUUGUGUUGCUAAGCUUUGCGUUAGGACUUCGCAGUUGCCUACAGUGAGCAUACAAUAAAUCGGAAGUUGAAGCCUUUUCUGUGAUCUUGCGGUGGUACUACAGGGCACAAAAGGGAAGGAAAUCAGUCCGUCCAAAUGUUCACAAGCUAAAGAAGGGGCUUCUAGAAUGGCAGGGUCUCUCGACCCCAACGCCGAGAAAAUUGACUUCUCUUAAUUACCUGGCCCGGCAACACUGGAGCUUCGGCCUCAGGACUAAUUUCUAGGUGGGGCCGCGUAGAGAAGCAGUGCGCACGCGUGCGCAGGGCACGGCCGCCGACGUAAUGCGCGCGGUGCGCGUGCGCAGAGGAUCCGCACGGUGGCGCGUCUCCUCGUGGGGCUCCAGGGGUCGUGUUCUCGGCAUGGGCACCUCGCUGUCGCCGCUGCUGACUCUGCUGUCCCUCCUCUCCGGCCCAUGGCUCGAACUAGGGAAUGGGCAGAUGACCAACAUGGUCCAGCUACCAGGUGGGAGAUUCCAGAUGGGAACGAAUUCACCAGAUGGCAGAGAUGGUGAAGGACCUGUCCGGGAGGUGACGGUAAAACCCUUUGCCAUCGACAUAUUUCCUGUCACCAACAAAGACUUCAGGGAGUUUGUCAGGGAGAAAAAGUACCAGACAGAGGCUGAGGUGUUUGGGUGGAGCUUUGUCUUCGAGGACCUUGUCUCUGAUGAGCUUAGAAACAAAGCAACCCAGAAAAUGCAGUCUCUCCUCUGGUGGCUUCCAGUGGAAAGGGCAUUCUGGAGGCAGGCGCUCUCUUCCCACUUCCUUGCUCCAUCUGUGGUAAAAGCUGAACUCAGGCACCCUAAGCCUAGCCUUCCUCAGACUUCCACGAGCUCCCAGAAGCUUGUCUCACUUCAUCCUGGCUAUCAGCCUGCAGGUCCCGGCUCUGGCAUCCGAGAGAAACUGGAGCUCCCAGUGGUACACGUGAGCUGGAAUGAUGCCCAUGCCUACUGUGCUUGGCGGGGGAAACGGCUGCCCAUUGAAGAAGAGUGGGAGUUUGCUGCCCGAGGGGGCUUGAAGGGUCAGGUUUACCCCUGGGGAAACGAGUUCCAGCCAAACCGCACCAACCUGUGGCAGGGAAAGUUCCCCAAGGGUGACAAGGCUGAGGAUGGCUUCCAUGGAGUCUCCCCGGUGAACGCUUUCCCCCCACAGAACAACUACGGGCUCUUUGACCUCGUGGGCAACGUGUGGGAGUGGACAGCGUCACCAUACCAGCCUGCCGACCAGGACAUGCGUGUCCUCCGGGGGGCGUCCUGGAUCGACACGGCCGAUGGCUCUGCCAAUCACCGGGCCCGGGUCACCACCAGGUGAGGGGCUCGGUAGCUGGGGGCUGAGGGUCUGGGUCCUGGUCUCCCAGAGCACAGGUGGCACCAGAUCUGGCGUGGCCGCCGCUGCCGUGCCUCCCCCUCCACUGGGGGCUGUGGGUACAGAAGAAGAAGCAGGCUACACUUGCCAUAGAAAGCCAAGAGCCCGGGACUGCUGGUGCCUUUUCCUGCCAGCUGUCAGCCCAGAGGCAGACUCUGUGUCCAGCAUCUUAAUUAUGUGGUUUCCCCUCUUGUCCUCCGAGCUAGGCUUGCAGAGAGAGGGAAGUGGAAUGGCCACAUCGAUAGGUCAUGGCCAGGGGUCAUGGAAAUAUUGACUCUUCCAACGAGUGUGCACAUGAAAAGUCAUUUUCUACAACCGUUUUGUCUUACAAUCAAGAAAAACUAGGCUCAGGGAGGUCCUGGAGCCUGCUCAUUUCACACAGAUGGCUAGUGGUGGCACCUGAAUGGUGGAGUCCCCGGCUCCCGAGUCCCCUUCUAGGACCCUCCACCUUGUUCAUCUGUGGAUUUAUUUUGGUUAAUCUCCCUGCAACUCCUCCUGCUCCUGGGUUCCGGAAGGACUGUCGAGAAGCCACUGUUCCUGUGGCCUCAGGGUGUCAGAAUGGGCAAUACUCCAGAUUCAGCCUCAGACAACCUAGGCUUCCGCUGUGCUUCCAGUGCAGGCCGACCACCUGGGGAGCUGUGAGCAGCCACACAGAGAUGAGGAGAGUCCCCCGUGGCACCCGCGGCACUCCCUGGCCACAUGCCAAACACAGCCAAACUCGGGACUGCGUCCAUCCCCUCCCCCCUCCCUGUGGCAGACACCUCUCCCCCGGGCAGGAAAGGACCCUGACCUCCACGGAGGGGCACCACUGUCUCCUGGAGAAGGGGCCCAACUUACUGAUUGUGUCCAGGAGCCGGACGUUUCUCUUAGAGGUCAAAUACUGACCGUAUGGAGGCCACAUACUCAAAACAUUUGGGGCGCAGUGCUCUGAAAGGCAGUUUGUGAAAAUAUUUUAAAUCUGCUCCCUCCAACUUUCUCACUGUCUGACCCGGGGACCUGACAUUGUUUGCUCAAGGCAGAAUUUCCCCAGGUCUCCUUGUUUUCCCAGCAAGUUGCUGUAGAAGGAAAAUGAUUCCUUCAUUUGCCUUAUUUGUGGGGUUUCAUGCACCUCCGAGGGAACCUAGUUUCCACCGUUUGUGAAAUGCAGUUCUGUGGGCUCUUUAAAGCACACUGUCAGUCUUAAAAGGGUCUAGGAGAACGACGGAUUUACCAGGCGCAACUGUGUAUCACGGGAGGCACAGAGUGAAUAAUACUCCACAAAGGCAAACAGCAGAAGCUUUCCUUUCUAUUAUUAAUUAUGUAAGGGCUGCCCUGUGCCUCUAAAAACAUGGCCCCAGAGAAGAACCUGCUCCCGUGCUGUCACUGGACUUUGUGAGGUCAGUAAAGUCUCCUGUGAUUGC